rnacentral:rRNA from 1 species
AGUGAACGCUGGCGGUAGGCCUAACACAUGCAAGUCGAACGGCAGCACAGGAGAGCUUGCUCUCUGGGUGGCGAGUGGCGGACGGGUGAGGAAUACAUCGGAAUCUACUCUGUCGUGGGGGAUAACGUAGGGAAACUUACGCUAAUACCGCAUACGACCUACGGGUGAAAGCAGGGCACCUUCGGGCCUUGCGCGAUUGAAUGAGCCGAUGUCGGAUUAGCUAGUUGGCGGGGUAAAGGCCCACCAAGGCGACGAUCCGUAGCUGGUCUGAGAGGAUGAUCAGCCACACUGGAACGGAGAGAGGGUCCAGACUCCUACCGUGGGCAGCAGUGGGGAAUAUGGAACAAUGGGGGCAAGCCUGAUCCAGCCAUACCGCGUGGGUGAAGAAGGCCUUCGGGUUGUAAAGCCCUUUUGUUGGGAAAGAAAUCCAGCUGGCUAAUACCCGGUUGGGAUGACGGUACCCAAAGAAUAAGCACCGGCUAACUUCGUGCCAGCAGCCGCAGUAA